rnacentral:rRNA from 1 species
GACGAACGCUGGCGGCGUGCUUAACACAUGCAAGUCGAACGGAAAGGCCCUGCUUUUGUGGGGUGCUCGAGUGGCGAACGGGUGAGUAACACGUGAGUAACCUGCCCUUGACUUUGGGAUAACUUCAGGAAACUGGGGCUAAUACCGGAUAGGAGCUCCUGCUGCAUGGUGGGGGUUGGAAAGUUUCGGCGGUUGGGGAUGGACUCGCGGCUUAUCAGCUUGUUGGUGGGGUAGUGGCUUACCAAGGCUUUGACGGGUAGCCGGCCUGAGAGGGUGACCGGCCACAUUGGGACUGAGAUACGGCCCAGACUCAUACGGGAGGCAGCAGUGGGGAAUGUUGCACAAUGGGCGGAAGCCUGAUGCAGCAACGCCGCGUGCGGGAUGACGGCCUUCGGGUUGUAAACCGCUUUCGCCUGUGACGAAGCGGGAGUGACGGUAAUGGGUAAAGAAGCACCGGCUAACUACGUG